AGUGAACGCUGGCGGUAGGCCUAACACAUGCAAGUCGAACGGCAGCACAGAGGAGCUUGCUCCUUGGGUGGCGAGUGGCGGACGGGUGAGGAAUACAUCGGAAUCUACUCUGUCGUGGGGGAUAACGUAGGGAAACUUACGCUAAUACCGCAUACGACCUACGGGUGAAAGCAGGGGAUCUUCGGACCUUGCGCGAUUGAAUGAGCCGAUGUCGGAUUAGCUAGUUGGCGGGGUAAAGGCCCACCAAGGCGACGAUCCGUAGCUGGUCUGAGAGGAUGAUCAGCCACACUGGAACUGAGACACGGUCCAGACGCCUACGGGAGGUAGCAGUGGGGAAUAUUGGACAAUGGGCGCAAGCCUGAUCCAGCCAUACCGCGUGGGUGAAGAAGGCCUUUGGGUUGUAAAGCCCUUUUGUUGGGAAAGAAAUCCAUCUGGUUAAUACCCGGGUGGGAUGACGGUACCCAAAGAAUAAGCACCGGCUAACUUCGUGCCAGCCGCCGCGGUAA
rnacentral:rRNA from 1 species